rnacentral:lncRNA from 1 species
UGCCUACGGUCUGCAGCGCGGCGCGCUGCGGCGAAGACGGAGGUGGGUGGCCACAUUUUUUUUUGUCUUCAGUAUGUCCUCGUCCCUUUUGCUGUGUCACGCCGUGCUUUCGUAGCUCGACAAGCCAACCAUCGUGGACUAGUCGAUCCCAUGGCCCUUGCCAGCGCGAUGACGCUGGUCAUGGUGAGUACUUGCUUUCUGGUUACUUGCGUCAUUUAACAAGUGCCCCCACCCUUUUUUUUAAAUUUUCAGAUCUGCAACCUGUGACUUGGCCCCUGGCACAUGUUCCUGCACCCGGCCGUGUUUUGCACAGAUGACGUUCAGCACCUGUCUGUUGUCCAGCAGCGGAUCGUGCCUUCACUUCUGUUCCUGCCUCACUGCUAUUUGUGCCCUGGCGAAUGAAGAUGCCUGCAGAACGUCCAAUGCACUCCGCAUCCUUUGGUGCCAGAUGCACGCGACGGAUUUUCCUGCACCCGGCCGUGUCUCCCACAGAUGAUGUUCGGCACUUGUCAUCCCAUGGCUGAUCGUGUCACUUCUGUUCCUGCCUCAUGGCUAUUGGUGUCCUGCUGAAUGAAGAUAUGCCUGCAAUCUCCGUGCUGCACUACAUCGACUGCACUCUGCAACCCUUGUCUUGACAUCUGCCGCCCAUCAAGGUCUGUCCAAUCACCCAUCAGCGUAUACUAGGCAAUGAGACCAAGUGCAGACCGUAGGGAGACCGUAGGGCGUUGCUCUCGCCACUCGUCGCAUUGCUGCUCCCGAAAACGUCGUGCCGCAGGAAACGUUCUUCGCUGCCUCGACGAGGCCACACAACUACGAAGUCCCAAGACACAGCACAACGUCGCGUGACAUGAAUGCUCAUCUAACAUCCCGGUUGGAGUUGUUCGUUCCACACUAUAGCAGUAAUAGGGCCACUCGAUGAACUCGCAUGUUGUUCAGUGGCUGUGGUCGUAUGCUGUGGGUACCGAAAAAUCCCAGGUAACGUGCUGUUCUAGCUCAUCGUAGUGGUGCACUGUUCAUAUUCUAGCAUUGGGUUGAUCUGGGGAUUCUUGCUUCUUACGUUCAUUGACAUUCUGUGCUUUUGUAAUGGUACACCGAUGCUGUUUUGCG